rnacentral:RNase_P_RNA from 1 species
UAUGUGAGGAACUUCCGAGCACCACAGAGUAAGGACGCCGGGUAACGCCCGGUGAAGGCGACUUCAAGGAAAGUGCAACAGAGAUAUACCGCAUCAGAAAUGGUGUAAGGGUGGAAAGGCGAGGUAAGAGCUCACCAGGAUCAUUGGUAACUUUGAUCCUCUGUAAACCCCGUCCGGUGCAAGAUUGAUAUAGGAGCAUUUAAUAGUUACUCGCUAAGCUUCGUGUAAUCGCUGGAACCUGCUGGUAACAGCAGGUCAAGAUAGAUGGCCAUAUAAACAGAACUCGGGGUAUGGAUUCACU